UUGAAGUUCAGGUAACACUGAAUGGAGGACCGAACCGACUUACGUUGAAAAGUGAGCGGAUGAACUGAGGGUAGCGGAGAAAUUCCAAUCGAACCUGGAGAUAGCUGGUUCUCUCCGAAAUAGCUUUAGGGCUAGCCUCAAGUGAUGAUUAUUGGAGGUAGAGCACUGUUUGGACGAGGGGCCCCUCUCGGGUUACCGAAUUCAGACAAACUCCGAAUGCCAAUUAAUUUAACUUGGGAGUCAGAACAUGGGUGAUAAGGUCCGUGUUCGAAAGGGAAACAGCCCAGACCACCAGCUAAGGUCCCAAAAUAUAUGUUAAGUGGAAAAGGAUGUGGCGUUGCCCAGACAACUAGGAUGUUGGCUUAGAAGCAGCCAUCAUUUAAAGAGUGCGUAAUAGCUCACUAGUCGAGUGA
rnacentral:rRNA from 1 species